rnacentral:rRNA from 1 species
CGGCGACGGGUGAGUAACACGUGGGUGAUCUGCCCUGUACUUCGGGAUAAGCCUGGGAAACUGGGUCUAAUACCGGAUAUGACCUUACAUCGCAUGGUGUUUGGUGGAAAGAUUUAUCGGUACAGGAUGGGCCCGCGGCCUAUCAGCUUGUUGGUGGGGUAAUGGCCUACCAAGGCGACGACGGGUAGCCGGCCUGAGAGGGCGACCGGCCACACUGGGACUGAGACACGGCCCAGACUCCUACGGGAGGCAGCAGUGGGGAAUAUUGCACAAUGGGCGAAAGCCUGAUGCAGCGACGCCGCGUGAGGGAUGACGGCCUUCGGGUUGUAAACCUCUUUCGACAGGGACGAAGCGCAAGUGACGGUACCUGUAGAAGAAGCACCGGCCAACUACGUGCCAGCAGCCGCGGUAAUACGUAGGGUGCGAGCGUUGUCCGGAAUUACUGGGCGUAAAGAGCUUGUAGGCGGUUUGUCGCGUCGUCCGUGAAAACUUGGGGCUCAACCCCAAGCUUGCGGGCGAUACGGGCAGACUUGAGUACUGCAGGGGACUUUUGGAAUUCA